GGAAGGAUCAUUAACAAAAACUUGAACUUAAUAACCUAGCGAAGUCAUAGUGAGACGCGAGUCUCGCUAACCAUAAAGUUAUACGCUCUGAAACUAUAACUAAGUCAUGGUUGACAUAAACUAAAUUUUCAACGAUGGAUGUCUAGGCUCCCAUAACGAUGAAGAACGCAGCGAGAAUGCGAUAUGCAAUGUGAAUUGCAGAACUACGAAUCAUUUGAUCUUUGAACGCAAAUGGCGCUGAUUCAUGUCAGCAUACUUGUUUCAGUGUGCCUAACCAAAUUCCGAAUAAAUGUAGGAGAAAAUUCUCCUAUGAAACACAUGCUCCGAGUAGCAGUCGUCUAAUGCGCGAGUUACUUGUGAGAUUUGUGACUUAUUCGCACCUGAAAUCAAGUAAGAUCACCCGCUGGACUUAAGCAUAUUACUAAGCGGAGGAGAAGAAAUUAACUAAGAUUGCCUUAGUAAGGGCGACUGAACCGGCAAAAGCUCGAAAUUAAAAUCGGGGGACCAAUGGUCCUUCGAAUUGUAAUCAGGGUUGCCUAAAUACGGGAGGCCUCUUAAGAGUCUCGAAAGGCUCGCCAAAGAGGGUGAAAGCCCCGUUCAGGGGUCUCUCGAACAAGGUAACUUGAACAAGAGUCGUGUUGCUUGGAACUGCAGCACUAAGUGGGAGAUAUGAUUCUUCCAAAGCUAAAUAUGGAUGGGAGACCGAUAGCGAACAAGUACUGUGAAGGAAAGAUGAAAAGGACUUUGAAAAGAGAGUGAAAAGAUCUGAAAUCGUUGAGAAGGAAGCGGUUAAAACUGAUCUGGGUUAUGAUGGCGCAACGAGGGUUCGUCUCUUGGAGCGUUUACCAAAGACCCUUAACAAAAUGAGUCUCUCCGCGUCAAAAUAGGCGCAAGCCGUGUAGGGCGUGGAGGGACUGAGGGGCUACGGCGAUUUUGUUUAUAGGUUUUAACCGUCCCGUCUUGAAACACGGACCAAGGAGUCUAACACAUAUGCGAGUGUGCGAGUGCCAAACUCAUACGCGUAAUGAAAGUGAAAGGUGCGCAGCGCAAGCAGCAGCAUCGACCGACCUAGUAAGAAAGGUUUGAGUAUGAGCAUAUUUGUUAGGACCCGAAAGAUGGUGAACUAUGCCUGAGUAGGGUGAAGUCAGGGGAAACCCUGAUGGAGGCUCGUAGCGGUACUAACGUGCAAAUUGUUCGUCAAACUUGGGUAUAGGGGCGAAAGACUAAUCGAACCAUCUAGUAGCUGGUUCCCUC
rnacentral:misc_RNA from 1 species